rnacentral:rRNA from 1 species
UACGCAGGGGGCUAGCGUUGCUCGGAAUGACUGGGCGUAAAGGGCGCGUAGGCGGCUUGCACCGUCAGAUGUGAAAUUCCUGGGCUUAACCUGGGGGCUGCAUUUGAUACGUGUGGGCUGGAGUGCGGAAGAGGGUCGUGGAAUUCCCAGUGUAGAGGUGAAAUUCGUAGAUAUUGGGAAGAACACCGGUGGCGAAGGCGGCGACCUGGUCCGUGACUGACGCUGAGGCGCGAAAGCGUGGGGAGCAAACAGG